UAGUAAUGCAAGUCGAGCGAACAGAAGGGAGCUUGCUCCCGGAUGUUAGCGGCGGACGGGUGAGUAACACGUGGGUAACCUGCCUGUAAGACUGGGAUAACUCCGGGAAACCGGAGCUAAUACCGGAUAGUUCCUUGAACCGCAUGGUUCAAGGAUGAAAGACGGUUUCGGCUGUCACUUACAGAUGGACCCGCGGCGCAUUAGCUAGUUGGUGGGGUAAUGGCUCACCAAGGCGACGAUGCGUAGCCGACCUGAGAGGGUGAUCGGCCACACUGGGACUGAGACACGGCCCAGACUCCUACGGGAGGCAGCAGUAGGGAAUCUUCCGCAAUGGACGAAAGUCUGACGGAGCAACGCCGCGUGAGUGAUGAAGGUUUUCGGAUCGUAAAGCUCUGUUGUUAGGGAAGAACAAGUGCGAGAGUAACUGCUCGCACCUUGACGGUACCUAACCAGAAAGCCACGGCUAACUACGUGCCAGCAGCCGCGGUAAUACGUAGGUGGCAAGCGUUGUCCGGAAUUAUUGGGCGUAAAGGGCUCGCAGGCGGUUUCUUAAGUCUGAUGUGAAAGCCCCCGGCUCAACCGGGGAGGGUCAUUGGAAACUGGGAAACUUGAGUGCAGAAGAGGAGAGUGGAAUUCCACGUGUAGCGGUGAAAUGCGUAGAGAUGUGGAGGAACACCAGUGGCGAAGGCGACUCUCUGGUCUGUAACUGACGCUGAGGAGCGAAAGCGUGGGGAGCGAACAGGAUUAGAUACCCUGGUAGUCCACGCCGUAAACGAUGAGUGCUAAGUGGUUAGGGGGUUUCCGCCCCUUAGUGCUGCAGCUAACGCAUUAAGCACUCCGCCUGGGGGAGUACGGUCGCAAGACUGAAACUCAAAGGAAUUGACGGGGGCCCGCACAGCGGUGGAAGCAUGUGGUUUAAUUCGAAGCAACGCGAAGACCUUACCAGGUCUUGACUCCUCUGACACCCUAGAGAUAGGCUUUCCUUCGGGACAAAUG
rnacentral:rRNA from 1 species